rnacentral:misc_RNA from 1 species
GAUGAAGAACGUAGCGAAAUGCGAUACUUGGUGUGAAUUGCAGAAUCCCGUGAACCAUUGAGUCUUUGAACGCAAGUUGCGCCCGAAGCCACUAGGCCGAGGGCACGCCUGCCUGGGCGUCACACGCCGUUGCCCCCCCAUCUACUCCUUCGGGAUUGCGGGGGGGCGGAUGAUGGCCUCCUGUGCGCCUAGCCGCGCGGUUGGCAUAAAUACCAAGUCCUCGGCGACGCACGCCACGACAAUCGGUGGUUGCGAAACCUCGGUUGCCCGUCGUGUGCGUUCGUCGCGCAUCGAGGGCUCGAAAAAAUGCUCGGCUCCGGCUGGGCUUUCAACGCGACCCCAUGUCAGGCGGGGUUACCCGCUGAAUUUAAGCAUAUCAAUAAGCGGAGGA